UACGUAGGGAGCGAGCGUUGUCCGGAUUCAUUGGGCGUAAAGAGCUCGUAGGCGGCCACUCAAGUCGAAUGUGAAACCUCGAGGCUCAACCUCGAGCCUGCAUUCGAUACUGGGCGGCUAGAGUCUGGUAGGGGGAUCUGGAAUUCCUGGUGUAGCGGUGGAAUGCGUAGAGAUCCGGAAGAACACCGGUGGCGAAGGCGGUUAGCUGGGCAGUUGCUGACACUGAGGCGCGAAAGCGUGGGGAGCAAACAGG
rnacentral:rRNA from 1 species